rnacentral:rRNA from 1 species
CAGCUAACGCAAUAAGUAGACCGCCUGGGGAGUACGGCCGCAAGGUUAAAACUCAAAUGAAUUGACGGGGGCCCGCACAAGCGGUGGAGCAUGUGGUUUAAUUCGAUGCAACGCGAAGAACCUUACCUGGUCUUGACAUAUCUAGAAUCCUGCAGAGAUGCGGGAGUGCCUUCGGGAAUUAGAAUACAGGUGCUGCAUGGCUGUCGUCAGCUCGUGUCGUGAGAUGUUGGGUUAAGUCCCGCAACGAGCGCAACCCUUUUCCUUAGUUACCAGCGGUUCGGCCGGGGACUCUAAGGAUACUGCCAGUGACAAACUGGAGGAAGGCGGGGACGACGUCAAGUCAUCAUGGCCCUUACGACCAGGGCUACACACGUGCUACAAUGGUAGGUACAGAGGGCUGCUACACAGCGAUGUGAUGCGAAUCUCAAAAAGCCUAUCGUAGUCCAGAUUGGAGUCUGCAACUCGAC